GCGGAUGUAGCCAANUGGAUCAAGGCAGU
rnacentral:tRNA from 1 species